AGAGUUUGAUCCUGGCUCAGAAUCAACGCUGGCGGCGUGCCUAACACAUGCAAGUCGCACGAGAAAAGUGGAGCAAUCCAUGAGUAAAGUGGCGCACGGGUGAGUAACACGUGAAUGAUCUACCUCCGAGUGGGGAAUAACCUAGAGAAAUCUGGGCUAAUACCGCAUAACACUUACGAGUCAAAGCAGCAAUGCGCUUGGAGAGGAGUUCGCGGCCGAUUAGUUAGUUGGCGGGGUAAUGGCCCACCAAGACGAUGAUCGGUAUCCGGCCUGAGAGGGCGCACGGACACACUGGAACUGAAACACGGUCCAGACUCCUACGGGAGGCAGCAGUGGGGAAUUUUGCGCAAUGGGGGAAACCCUGACGCAGCAACGCCGCGUGGAGGAUGAAAUCCCUUGGGAUGUAAACUCCUUUCGAUCGGGACGAUUAUGACGGUACCGGAAGAAGAAGCCCCGGCUAACUUCGUGCCAGCAGCCGCGGUAAUACGAGGGGGGCAAGCGUUGUUCGGAAUUAUUGGGCGUAAAGGGCGCGUAGGCGGUUUGACAAGUCUGAUGUGAAAUCUCUGGGCUCAACCCAGAGUCUGCAUUAGAAACUGUCGGGCUUGAGUAUGGGAGAGGUGAGUGGAAUUUCCGGUGUAGCGGUGAAAUGCGUAGAUAUCGGAAGGAACACCUGUGGCGAAAGCGGCUCACUGGACCAUAACUGACGCUGAGGCGCGAAAGCUAAGGGAGCAAACAGGAUUAGAUACCCUAGUAGUCC
rnacentral:rRNA from 1 species